rnacentral:rRNA from 1 species
CAUGUGGGGCAAGCGUUGUUCGGAAUUACUGGGCAUAAAGGGUGCGUAGGCGGCUUGUUAAGUCAGGGGUGAAAGUCUUCGGCCCAACCGGAAAAUUGCCUUUGAUACUGGCGAGCUCGAGUGCGUGAGGGGUAACCGGAACGAGUGGUGUAGCGGUGAAAUGCGUAGAUAUCACUCGGAAGGCCAAAGGCGAAGGCAGGUUACUGGUACGCAACUGACGCUGAGGCACGAAAGCGUGGGGAGCAAACAGGAUUAGAUACCCUGGUAGUCCACGCCGUAAACGAUGAGCACUAGGUAGGUGCCGAGCUAUUCGGUGCCUGCCGCAGGUAAUUUGGUAAGUGCUCCGCCUGGGGAGUAUGGUCGCAAGGCUG